CCUACGGGUGGCAGCAGUGGGGAAUAUUGGGCAAUGGGCGCAAGCCUGACCCAGCAACGCCGCGUGAAGGAAGAAGGCUUUCGGGUUGUAAACUUCUGUUCUCAGGGACGAAGGAAGUGACGGUACCUGAGGUAUAAGCCAGGGCUAACUACGUGCGAGCAGCCGCGGUAAUUCGUAGGUGGCAAGCGUGAUCCGGAUUUAAUGGGUGGAAAGGGCGGGGAGGCGGGAUAGCAAGUCAGAUGUGAAAACCACGGGCUUAAUCUGUGUCAUGCAUUUGAAACUGUAGUUCUUGAGUACUGGAGAGGCAGACGGAAUUCCAAGUGUAGCGGUGAAAUGCGUAGAUAUUAGGAGGAACACCAGUGGCGAAGGCGGCCUGCUGGACAGCAACUGACGCUGAGGCGCGAAAGCGUGGGGAGCAAACAGGAUUAGAUACCCCAGUAGUC
rnacentral:rRNA from 1 species